CUAGCGACUUCAGAGUUUGAUCCUGGCUCAGGAUGAACGCUAGCGACAGGCCUAACACAUGCAAGUCGAGGGGUAACAGGGAGCUUGCUCCGCUGACGACCGGCGCACGGGUGAGUAACGCGUAUGCAACCUUCCCACAGGAUCGGGAUAGCCCUCCGAAAGGAGGAUUAACACCGGAUGUGGUAAUUUUGAGGCAUCUUAAGAUUACUAAAUGCAAAGCUUGUGGAUGGGCAUGCGUGACAUUAGCUAGUUGGCGGGGUAACGGCCCACCAAGGCGACGAUGUCUAGGGGUUCUGAGAGGAAGGUCCCCCACACCGGUACUGAGACACGGACCAG
rnacentral:rRNA from 1 species